UAAUACCGGAUAGAUCAAAGAUACUGGAAUGUUCUCUGGUCCAAAACUCCGGUGCCCAAGGAUGGGUCUGCGGCCUAUCAGGUUGUAGUGGGUGUAACGUACCUACUAGCCUACGACGGGUAAGGGUUGUGAGAGCAAGAUCCCUGAGAUGGAUUCUGAGACAUGAAUCCAGGCCCUACGGGGUGCAGCAGGCGCGAAACCUUUACACUGCGGGAAACCGCGAUAAGGGGACCCCGAGUGCCAGCACCUAGUGCUGGCUGUCCAGCUGUCCAAAUAACAGUUGUUAGCAAGGGCCGGGCAAGACCGGUGCCAGCCGCCGCGGUAACACCGGCGGCCCGAGUGGUAGCCGCUAUUAUUGGGUUUAAAGGGCCCGUAGCCGGCCUAUUAAGUCUCUUGGGAAAUCUGGCGGCUCAAUCGUCAGGCGUCC
rnacentral:rRNA from 1 species